rnacentral:rRNA from 1 species
AGCGAACGCUGGCGGCAGGCUUAACACAUGCAAGUCGAACGCCAUCUUCGGAUGGAGUGGCAGACGGGUGAGUAACGCGUGGGAACGUACCCUUUGGUUCGGAAUAUUCUCGGGGAAACUGGGAGCAAUACCGGAUAAGCCCUACGGGGGAAAGAUUUAUCGCCAAAGGAGCGGCCCGCGUCAGAUUAGGUAGUUGGUGGGGUAAAGGCCUACCAAGCCUACGAUCUGUAGCUGGUCUGAGAGGAUGAUCAGCCACACUGGGACUGAGACACGGCCCAGACUCCUACGGGAGGCAGCAGUGGGGAAUCUUGGACAAUGGGCGCAAGCCUGAUCCAGCCAUGCCGCGUGGAUGAUGAAGGCCUUAGGGUUGUAAAAUCCUUUCAACGGGGACGAUAAUGACGGUACCCGUAGAAGAAGCCCCGGCUAACUUCGUG